AUGUGGCAUUUGUACACGUGCUUAUCAUCACGCGUGUACAGUCCUGGAAAAGUCGGUCAACACACAGACCGGGGUCGGUUUACUGCACGCCCCGUAGAGGAGCUUCAACGCGCCGUUACCGGGACGGGGACCCCGAGAGCCGCCGAGCAGCCCCUGAGGUCAGCACCUGGGCUCGGACAGGCCCGGCCUGCUCCCGACCUGCGACCCGCAGCGCCCGGCACCGCGCCCCUCUCCCCGUGCGCCCUCUCCGCGCCCCUCCCGGUGCGCCCCCCCCGCGCCCCUCUCUCCGCGCGCCCUCUCCGCGCCCCUCCCCGCGCGCCCUCUCCGCGCCCCUCCCCGCGCGCCCUCUCCGCGCCCCUCCCCGUGCGCUCCUCCCCGCGCGCCCUCCCCGCGCCCCUCCCCGCGCCCCUCCCCGCGCGCCCUCUCCGCGCCCCUCCCCGUGCGCUCCUCCCCGUGCGCCCUCUCCGCGCGCCCCCCCGCCCCCCUCCCCGCGCGCCCUCCCCGCGCGCCCUCUCCGCGCCCCUCCCCGUGCGCUCCUCCCCGUGCGCCCCUCUCCGCGCGCACUCUGGGCGCCCCUCCCCGCGCCCCCCCGGCCCCUCCCCGCGCGCCCCUCCCCGCGCACCCCGGCCAGGCGGGGGCGCGCGGACCCGCAGCCCCGGGCGCAGGAGGCUCGCGCGGCGUGCGCGCCCGCGGCCUGCGUGGCGGCGCCCCUCCCCCUCGGCGUGCGCGCGGCCGGCGGCGGGGGCGGCGGGGAGGGCGGAGCCGGCGCCGCGGGCCGCGGGCGGAGGGCGGAGGCUGAGGCGGAGGCUGAGCGGCGGCGGCGGAGGCGGCGGGGUCGGGCGGCGCUCGGGGCCGCGCUCGGGGCCGCGCCAGGCCACGGCCAGCGCGCUGAGCCCCGGCGUCCGGCGUCCCAGCGGAGCCCCGGCGGCCUGGCGGUCCGAGCCCGGCGGCGUGCGGCGCGGAGCGGCCCGGGGCGAGGUGAGCGCGGGCGGGCGGGCGGGCGGGGGCUCGGACCCGGGGCUGGACACGGCCGCGGGCCCGCGUUUAUGUAAGCGCCGCCGGGCAGGUGGGGAGGCCGGGCCGGGCGGGGGUCCGCGGGCGGCUGCUGCCCGGGGAGGGGAGGCUGCGCCCGGGACGGCCCCGCGUCUCCUCCCCGGGGCGCCGCGUCUGCGCGGGAUGCUCUGCGCCGCGGACCGGGAGGCUGCGCCCCGGGUGAAGAUGCGCCCUUGGAGACGCUGCGCCCCGGGGUGA
rnacentral:lncRNA from 1 species